rnacentral:rRNA from 1 species
AUUGAACGCUGGCGGCAUGCCUUACACAUGCAAGUCGAACGGUAACAGGGUGCUUGCACCGCUGACGAGUGGCGAACGGGUGAGUAAUGCGUCGGAACGUGCCGAGUAGUGGGGGAUAACGCAGCGAAAGUUGUGCUAAUACCGCAUACGUACUGAGGUAGAAAGUGGGGGACCUUCGGGCCUCACGCUAUUCGAGCGGCCGACGUCUGAUUAGCUAGUAGGUGAGGUAAAGGCUCACCUAGGCGACGAUCAGUAGCGGGUCUGAGAGGAUGAUCCGCCACGCUGGGACUGAGACACGGCCCAGACUCCUACGGGAGGCAGCAGUGGGGAAUUUUGGACAAUGGGCGAAAGCCUGAUUCAGCCAUGCCGCGUGUCUGAAGAAGGCCUUCGGGUUGUAAAGGACUUUUGUCAGGGAGGAAAUCCCUAGUGCUAAUAACACUGGGGGAUGACAGUACCUGAAGAAUAAGCACCGGCUAACUACGUGCCAGCCGCCGCGGUAU